GAUGAACGCUGGCGGCGUGCUUAAUACAUGCAAGUCGAACGGACAGGCGAGUUUGUGGGUACUCGAGUGGUGAACGCGUGCGUAACACGUGAGUAACCUGCACUUGACUUCGGGAUAAGUUCAGGUAACUGGGGCUAAUACCGGAUAGGAAUCCUUGCUGCAUGGUGAGGGUUGGAAAGCUUAAGCGGUUUUGGCUGGACUCGCUGCUUAUAAGCUUGUUGGUAAGGUAGUGGCUUACCAAGGCUGCGAUGGGUAGCCGAGCUGAGAGGGUGACCGGCCACACUGAGACUGAGCCACGGCCCAGACUCCGACGGGAGGCAGCAGUAGGGACUCUUCGGAAAUGGGCGAAAGCCUGACGGAGCAACGCAGCGUGAGUGAUGAAGGUCUUCGGAUCGUAAAACUCUGUUAUUAGGGAAGACCAAAUGUGUAAGUAACUAUGCACGUCUUGACGGUACCUACUCAGAAAGCAACGGCUAACUACGUG
rnacentral:rRNA from 1 species